rnacentral:rRNA from 1 species
AUUGAACGCUGGCGGCAUGCCUUACACGUGCAAGUCGAACGGUAACAGGUCUUCGGAUGCUGACGAGUGGCGAACGGGUGAGUAAUACAUCGGAACGUGCCUAGUAGUGGGGGAUAACUACUCGAAAGAGUGGCUAAUACCGCAUGAGAUCUACGGAUGAAAGCAGGGGAUCGCAAGACCUUGUGCUACUAGAGCGGCCGGUGGCAGAUUAGGUAGUUGGUGGGAUAAAAGCUUACCAAGCCGACGAUCUGUAGCUGGUCUGAGGGGACGAUCAGCCACACUGGGACUGAGACACGGCCCAGACUCCUACGGGAGGCAGCAGUGGGGAAUUUUGGACAAUGGGCGCAAGCCUGAUUCAGCAAUGCCGCGUGCAGGAUGAAGGCCUUCGGGUUGUAAACUGCUUUUGUACGGAACGAAAAGCCCUGGGUUAAUACCCUGGGGUCAUGACGGUACCGUAAGAAUAAGCACCGGCUAACUACGUGCCAGCCGCCGCCGUAACAC